CGNCGAUACACUGUGUGUGUCUGAGCGAAAGCANUGAAGUAUCCCAACCUGGGAAGUACGAUCGCAAGAUUGAAACUCAAAGGAAUUGGCGGGGGUCCGCACAAGCGGUGGAGCAUGUGGGUUAAUUCGAUGAUACGCGAGGAACCUUACNUGGGCUAGAAUGCAUUUUGACAGUGGGUGAAAGCUCAUCUUGUAGCAAUACACAAUUUGCAAGGUGCUGCAUGGCUGUCGUCAGCUCGUGCCGUGAGGUGUUGGGUUAAGUCCCGCAACGAGCGCAACCCCCAUCACUAGUUGCCAUCAGGUAACGCUGGGAACUCUAGUGAAACUGCCGUCGUAAGACGUGAGGAAGGAGGGGAUGAUGUCAAGUCAUCAUGGCCUUUAUGCCCAGGGCNACACACGUGCUACAAUGGGGCGUACAAAGGGCUGCAACACAGUGAUGUGAAGCUAAUCCCAAAAAACGCCUCUCAGCUCAGAUUGGAGUCUGCAACUCGACUCCAUGAAGCUGGAAUCGCUAGUAAUCGUAGAUCAGCAACGCUACGGUGAAUACGUUCCCGGACCUUGCACACACCGCCCGUCAAGCCAUGGAAGGCUGGGUGUACCUAAAGUCGGUAACCGACAAGGAGCCGCCUAGGGUAAAACUAGUGACUGGGGCUAAGUCGUAACAAGGUACC
rnacentral:rRNA from 1 species